CCAAUAGCGUAUAUUAAAGUUGUUGCAGUUAAAAAGCUCGUAGUUGAAUUUCGGGAUUGACGUGAUGGUCAUGCCUUAAGGGGUAUGAACUGUUACUGUUGAUUUCUCACCUUCUGGAGAAACUUGAUGUCCUUUAUUGGGUGUCUUGCGGAUCCAGGACCUUUACCUUGAAAAAAUUAGAGUGUUUAAAGCAGGCAUUUUUGCUCGAAUACAUUAGCAUGGAAUAAUAGAAUAGGACGGCAUGGUUCUAUUUUGUUGGUUUCUAGGAUCACCGUAAUGAUUAAUAGGGAUAGUUGGGGGCAUUAGUAUUCAAUUGUCAGAGGUGAAAUUCUUGGAUUUAUUGAAGACUAACUACUGCGAAAGCAUUUGCCAAGGAUGUUUUCAUUAAUCAAGAACGAGAGUUAGGGGAUCGAAGACGAUCAGAUACCGUCGUAGUCUUAACCAUAAACUAUGCCGACUAGGAAUCAGACGAUGUUAAUUUUUUAAUGACUCGUUUGGCACCUUACG
rnacentral:rRNA from 1 species